rnacentral:rRNA from 1 species
UACGAAGGGGGGCUAGCGUUGCUCGGAUUGACUGGGCGUAAAGGGCGCGUAGGCGGUUUGUACAGUCAGACGUGAAAUUCCCGGGCUCAACCUGGGGGCUGCGUUUGAUACGUGCAGGCUUGAGUGUGGAAGAGGGUCGUGGAAUUCCCAGUGUAGAGGUGAAAUUCGUAGAUAUUGGGAAGAACACCGGGUGGCGAAGGCGGCGACCUGGUCCAUUACUGACGCUGAGGCGCGAAAGCGUGGGGAGCAAACAGG